UACGUAGGGGGCUAGCGUUGUCCGGAUUUAUUGGGCGUAAAGAGCGUGUAGGCGGCCAGGUAGGUCUGCUGUGAAAACUCGAGGCUCAACCUCGAGACGUCGGCGGAAACCAUCUGGCUAGAGUCCGGAAGGGGAGAGUGGAAUUCCUGGUGUAGCGGUGAAAUGCGCAGAUAUCUGGAGGAACACCGGUGGCGAAGGCGGCAUCCUGGACCGGUAUUGACGCUGAGGCGCGAAAGCCAGGGGAGCAAACGGG
rnacentral:rRNA from 1 species